CACCCUCCUAUCCCCUGCAUACUUGGGACCACUUUUUGCUCAUCCAUCUCAAAGCAUUGGACAGAGGAAAUGCUUCGAUUUCUUUUCUUUUCAGCAGUUUUGGGAGGUGUCCAAUCAGCGGUCCAGCUGGUGGAGUCUGGAGGAGAUGCCAAAAGGCCUGGGGAGUCCCUCCGUCUGUCCUGUCAAGCCUCCGGGUUCACCUUUAGCAGCUUCUGGAUGGAGUGGGUGAGACAGGCUCCUGGGAAAGGCCUGGAAUGGCUGGGAGAAAUAAAUGCACCUUCAUCUACCAUUAACUACUCAAACAAAGUGAAGGGACGAUUCACCAUCUCCAGGGACAAUUCAAACAGCCUCCUCUACUUGCAAAUGAACAACCUGGAAGCUGGAGACACGGCUGUGUAUUACUGUGCAAGAGGCACAGUGAAAGGAAGUGAAUCUGAAGCCUGGCAAAAACCUUCUGUUGCUCCCAGCUGCUCUCUGGGUUGA